rnacentral:lncRNA from 1 species
AUUCCUGUGAUUUCAAAUACCAAAUGGAACUUCUAUCUUAUAUGCAUAGCUACUGUCAGUUAUUCCAACAAGUUGACUUAGAGCUCAGUCACUUUCCAUCUAUUAGAUCCUCUUACUGUCAAAAGCCUAAAACUCCUGUUUGAAGCCCACAUAGAGUGGAAUACAAAUGUGAGGAGAUAAGGUAUUUAACCACUAAUGCUACCACACCAACCACACUACGUCAAAUGCCUUACUAAAUCAUCACCCAAAUGAUAAAGGAAAUUUAUCCCACCUGAGGAGUAAUGCUGUUGGCUGCUGUAAUUCCAUUAUUACGGUUUUUCAUCAUGAACAUUUCAGUGUGCUUCUUAGAAAAGAGCAUGCAAGAUCCCCACGGACAUCCUUGAGAAAUUGAAUGCUGGAUUUUGUCCAUGACAGAAGAGGGACUUCCACCAACGUUCUGCUACAUCCUUAUCUUCAAGACGUACGCUCAUCCAGCUUCACUGCUUCAGUUCUUCUUUGCUGCUUCACUGGCGAGUUAGUUCACUUCAGUUGCUGUGACAACUGCAGUCACUGACAACGGGAUUAUGGCCAGGUAAUGCAGAGGAGACGUCGAGAAGAUGGACACCAAAA